GCGAAAACACCUCUUUUUGCACACCUUUUCUUUUACUCAUUAAGGUGUGUAAAGUAACACACCUUUUCACUGAAAACACACCUUUGUGUGUUUGACAGCACACCUUGACCCAUCCAAGAAACACAUCUUUUGAUGUGUUAUAAAACACAUCUUUAAAUUAUUAACAAUAUGCUUGAUUGGCCUUAUUUAUUACCUAUAGUAUUUUAGUGCGUCGAUAAAAGCGUCAGCCUUACGAGGAAUUACACAAGUCACAGGAAAUUUCACGCUGUUCCAUUGCAUUUAAAUUUAACUUUUUUCUUUAAAUUUCUGUUAUCUUUGGCCUGCGUUUCAGCUUUGAUCAGUAUUAAAAACUCUAAACAUUAUAUAAGACAUAGAUUUAAGGGAAUUUACAGAUCGUUGUGGUUUACUUUUGUAAUAAGAAUGAUUAACGUGGGUUGUUUUUGAAUAUCUGCCAUACAGACUUGUAUAUACAGGUCAGUGAUCUGAUACGUCAUACGCUUUUAACCAAUAAGAAUGUCGCGAGGUGUGAAACCCACGCGCACGAAAUACAAACCACUGUUUAGUGUUUUACAUUUCCUUCUCUACUGUGGCAACUGUGCUUCGAGUCUGUUACAAGUUUAAAUUAUGUUUAUUGUGAAGGCGAUUUUAAGAUUUUUUUGGAGAUGAACACACGAGAGCUUAUGAUGUUGUAUAAAGAAGAAAUUAUAAGAGGCGAAUAAAUUGAUGGUUCCGUUACAAACGAUGCAAAGAAAUUCAAGACUUCGAAGGUCCCGAAUAGCUUGAAAGUGAAAAGUCUGCUUCAUUCUAAUAAUUCAGAGACCACCGAAGCGCAUGGCGACGCGAACAGAUUCGACAUCACAAGAGAGACUUGGUGAUCUUUGUUGAUUAUGAAGAUCAUGAAUUAAGGCGAUGAUGUUAUUGCAACAGUUGAGCAGGCACCAUACACUCCAACAAACAAGAACAAGGGUGACCAACAAGACAAGAAAACACCACCAAGUGUCAAGUCGAGACGACAUCAAGUCAAUAAACUGUUUAUAGAGUAAGACAUUAUUUUAAACUAAACUGCAUGCUUCAAGAUAUUUAUAUAAUUCAUUACUGUGACUUCAUGUUAAUUCUUAAUAGUAUUGGAACUUAAAAUAUAUUUAUAAAUUAAUAUUGUGUUUGUGUGUUUUCUAGCCCUGUUUAUAUGUUACUUUUAGGAAAGGUGUGCAACUUUUUACUUAAACAAUUUGUGUGUUCUCCAGCACAGCUUUAGCUGUGUAAUAAAACACACCAUGGUGUGUAUGAAAACACACCUUCUUUGAAAACACACCUUAGAACGUGUUAAAAUUUGGACAAGCCAAAAACACAUCUUUUGGUGUGUUUUUUGACACACCUUUUAGUGUGUUCUACACACCUUUUGGUGUGCACAAAAACACACCUUGCUAUGUGUUAACACACCUUUGAAGAUGCUUUUUGCACACCUUAUGGUGUGUUAAACACACCUUUAGGUGUGUUUCAAAACCCACCUUUAGGUGUGUUAAAAUUUGGACAAAAAAGGUGUGUAAAUUUAACACA
rnacentral:lncRNA from 1 species